rnacentral:rRNA from 2 species
AUGACCGCGGAUCAGGUGA